rnacentral:rRNA from 1 species
UGGGGAAUAUUGCACAAUGGGCGCAAGCCUGAUGCAGCCAUGCCGCGUGUGUGAGGAAGGCCUUCGGGUUGUAAAGCACUUUCAGCGAGGAGGAAGGGUUCAGUGUUAAUAGCACUGUUCAUUGACGUUACUCGCAGAAGAAGCACCGGCUAACUCCGUGCCAGCAGCCGCGGUAAUACGGAGGGUGCAAGCGUUAAUCGGAAUUACUGGGCGUAAAGCGCACGCAGGCGGUUUGUUAAGUCAGAUGUGAAAUCCCCGCGCUUAACGUGGGAACUGCAUUGAAACUGGCAAGCUAGAGUCUUGUAGAGGGGGGUAGAAUUCCAGGUGUAGCGGUGAAAUGCGUAGAGAUCUGGAGGAAUACCGGUGGCGAAGGCGGCCCCCUGGACAAAGACUGACGCUCAGGUGCGAAAGCG